AGCACAAUCUGUGGCAGGUAUUUGGAUUGUUUGGCGUAAAGUCUUUUAUUGAAGUUUGGGUUUUGUUUUGUUUUUUUUCUGUUUCAGAUAUGGCUCAUCUCAAAGCCCUUUACCCUUUGGAGCCAGGCCUGUUCAAUUUUACAAAUAGCACGUUUUGCUUGUAGUCAGGUAGGUAUUGAUGGUUGGUGCUUCCUUAGGGAACAUAUUUAGAUGGCCACUAAAUGAUGAACAAUGUAAAUGACAAGCAUAUGGCUGAGUUGCAAUGAUGUCAUCUUACUACUGAAGUGGGCUGAAGAAAGAAGGUGCUGAAGUGGCUGUGAUUACAUUUAAAAAAAUGACAUUGUUUCUCUGUUUCCAGGGUGCUGUGACAACAUGAAGAGUUCAAGCUACCUCCCAGGAUGAGUGCAGGUAAUUAUCCAAGUAGAGCUUAGGCUUUCUCUAGGAAAAAUAGUCAAGACAGACAUUGAAGCAGCACAACACUUUUUUGCUGCUUGUUAUUUGUAUUUCUAGAGGACACAUUAUGUUAAGGCCUUUGUUCUCUUAAAAACUCAACUGUCAGAUGAUUUGAAAUGAUGACACUGAACACUCCAUGAAGGUGUGAAUUUAUAGCAUGUUAGAGUUCUGAUGGCAGUUAGUGCUGACAGAGAUUGUAAUUCUGUCCUGAUGGUUGAAAAUAACUGCUUGUUACUCUUCCACAGGUUUUCCUGGUGACAAAUCUCAGGCAUUCAAAGGUUAGUUAGAUUAUUUUGGAUGGGGUUUGUUUGUUCACUAGGUUUGCUGUUUCUAUGAUGAAUCAAACUAGCUCACUAUGACUGCUAAUGAAAACACAGGAACACCUGAGAAACCAAAGGGUAGUGUGGGGGCAAGGGUGCUUAUAUCCAGCCUUUUCAAGGUUUGUUAUUUUUCUCCAGGUUCUGUUAGCCGUGCCAUACUUGUGGGUUUACAGAGAUGGUGUGUCUGGCUGAGCAAAGGAGCCAUACCAGGUAUAUGUCUUAGUAAUGCUUUUUGUAGUAUAAGGUUGAAUAUAUAAUACUUAGACCUAGUGAAUUCCUGCUCACCCUGAUGAACUGAAUACCGCCCCAGUCUGAUAGCUGUGAAGAAAGGUAUUUUCUGAGUUGUGAGCUCAUCUUGGAUCAAGUAGGAAAUUUUUUAUGCUAAUACUAGCAUAGUAUUAAUACUAGCAUAAGCUUUUGUAAAAGAAGCUUAAGCAUUAAUGGCCCAAGUUGUUUGCUAUUUUGCAGGAAAAUUGAAGCAUAUCUUCAUUUUCAAGUCCAGGCUAAAAUAAGGUGAGAAAACUUAGAUGAAAAGUAUGCUGAACUAUAAUUUCCCCAUGAAGAAAUGUUCACACGUCCUACUUCCUGUCCUAGCUCCAGAGCCUGAAAAGGUGAACCCACUGGGGCUGGCUGGGGGAAAAGAGGAAACUUUGUUCCAGAAGGAACUGUCUGAGGGAUCAUUUUUGUGCGUAGAAAGGGAAGAAUUCUCACUUGAUUAAAGAGGAAUCAAAAGGUGAUUUACUUGUUUUACAGGUCUGAGGAAAAGAAUGAGCUGCCUGUGAAGGACAGGUAAGCCCUUCAAAUCAUUAGAAUGGGCGGGGCAGGGUUGGGGGAAACUGGUUAACUAGACAGCCUAUAGUCUCUUCUGAUAGUGAAUGUAGGAUGAUUUUGCUUUCUACUCCUAAUUCAAAUUUUUAUCUUACAGGAACAGAAAUCAUGAAAGAUCUGUUUGUCCAGGCCAGUGUUUCACCAUAAGAGAUCACUUUAAAAUAAAUGAGAUGAAUUCUUUGCA
rnacentral:lncRNA from 1 species